rnacentral:antisense_RNA from 1 species
CGCCGGCGGGAAGGGUCCGCGCGCCAUGGCUGGCCGCUCGCGCCCUUUCCCACCGCUGCCGGGAAACCGAGGCUCGCCCCAAACGGAUUUGCGUGAAACCAGCCCAAGGUUCCGGGCCCCCCCCCAACCGAGCCCCGCGCCCGGGGACUGACUCGGGGACCGACUCAGGGACCUCCCGAGCGCCAGGACUCAGGGCCCGACCUGCAGCGGCUGCAGGCCCAGCGCCCGCAAGCGGCCUGGGCCGAGCGCCGUUUCCAGGCCCUCGCCAGGUCUUUGAACUGCAGGGAAGCGUCAGCCACACAAAAGCCUCCAUGACCGCUGCUUCGGAGAAGCUCUCGACCCUAACUGCAGUCACUGUUACUUGGAUCAGAUCAAGCGCAGUGACUUUUUGGGAUUCAGUGGUCAUUCUCCACACUUCGUAGCCAUUUCAACCAACUCUGAGCACAAAAUGCAGCCAUCCUCUAUGCAGCAAGCCCUGCCCAGUCAGUGACCCUACUGGACAGAUCCAAGGCCAGCCCUGGUUCCCUGCUGCAGCCACCGUCCUGACGUUCAUCGGAGCAGGCCGGGGCCUGGCCUUCCCGGCACAAGUGGCUGUUCUGACAGGCCCCCAGUUUGUCCCAUCUGAACUGCUGGGAGGUUUCCGGGUGGCCAGAGGAGCAAAGCUGCCUUCCAAGUGCCUGUCUGUGCCUGGGAGAACAGAGCAGGAGCGUCGUGCGGCCCACAGCGCAGUGCGUGGCGAUUCCAGGCGCUGAACAACUCCCCUGGACCCUUGGGCCUGCAUCUGACUCCCGGCUGCAGAGUCAGAAGCUGAGUCCAGGCAACUGCUUGGCCACUCCCGAUCGCUCCUCCCUGGACACCCGG